rnacentral:misc_RNA from 1 species
UGGCUCUCGCAUCGAUGAAGAACGCAGCGAAAUGCGAUAAGUAAUGUGAAUUGCAGAAUUCAGUGAAUCAUCGAAUCUUUGAACGCACCUUGCGCUCCUUGGUAUUCCGAGGAGCAUGCCUGUUUGAGUGUCAUGGAAUUCUCAACUUAUAAAUCCUUGUGAUCUAUAAGCUUGGACUUGGAGGCUUGCUGGCCCUCGUUGGUCGGCUCCUCUUGAAUGCAUUAGCUCGAUUCCGUACGGAUCGGCUCUCAGUGUGAUAAUUGUCUACGCUGUGACCGUGAAGUGUUUUGGCGAGCUUCUAACCGUCCAUUAGGACAACUUUUUAACAUCUGACCUCAAAUCAGGUAGGACUACCCGCUGA